ensembl:lncRNA
CAUUUUUCCAGGGACUCUGAAAUGGAUGUUGCAAGAGGCAACCUGGGGUGGUUUGUCAGAAGGAGCCCAAAAAAGUUCCAGGAAUAAGCAGUCCUUGGCCCAGUGGACCAGGCCCGAGACAGGGGAGGUGCCUCACCCAGAGGCCUGGGUGAUUACAAUGGGUUGGUGGGGGCCCUGGGUGUUCCUGACCCUGCUCCAGGGGGGCAGAGGUGACAUCCACCCCCUGGCAGUUUUGUCCUCAGAACUGAGUAGGCAGGAAUCCUUCCCAUGCACACAGCGUGACCCAGUGCUGGUCUCCGCUAGGCAGGCCCAGACGGGGAGGAAUGACAGACCUGUCAUGUGGUUUUGGAGCAGGAGGCAUAGUUCAGUUUCUGGUUGCCACAGUCCCACCCCUGACCUCCACAGGAUUGGACAGGGAGGAAAGGAGCCCCUGGCAGAUUGCCUGACAUUCCUGAGGCUGUGGAUUCAGCACCUUCCUAAGAGGGCAGCCAUGGGCCUGUCUGCCACCCCACCUUCCUUGAUGCUAGCUGAUUAUGGACUGAAACCUCUACAGACUGUGAGCUAAAUAAACCUUUUCUCCUUUAACUUUGGGUGUUGGGUAUUUUGUCUCAGCAAUGAGAAAAGUAACUAAGAUAGCAGAAUUCUGGGAUUUGGCCCUAGCCACUGCACACCUCUGAAAAUCAGGCCCUUGACUGUCCCUCCAACCCACAUCAUCCUGGAAUAUAGAACAUGGAGCUCACCACCUGCAAUCUCCAGGUAGUACUUGAAUUGCUGAGCAAACACUUGCUAUUGGCAAAAGUACAAAGCUCUGCAAAAGGUCCAACAGGAAAAACUAAACACAGAAGAACAGCAUCAGCUGGGUGGGGUGGGGGCACAGGAACUUUGAGGAGACCCUUGUGGCAGUGGCUGAGGUCGAGCUAGGGUGGGUCCUGGUCACAAGGGAUGGAGAGGCGGGGACCGAGGACGGUACACCUCUCAUCCCAUGCCUUGCUAGUGCUGUGCCUCUGGAAGGACUCGGUGCGCAAGCUAACCAUGGAUGUCUCCCUGACAGCCCGCCUUGCAUCCUGUGGCCAGUUGCUGCCACAUUCCCGAGCGAUUCCCCAUGAGACUCCUGGACACCACCUUGUCUGUGCCUGGCUGACGUCUGAACGCACCCGUGGGCACUGAGCACAAAGCUGUCACCAUUUACCUGAUGUAGAGGGAAUAGAUGUAACUUCCAAACCUGCUAGGGGCGGCAUCUCUUCAGUGACAGCGGCAGUGGUGUAAUCAGCAGAGUGUGGUCUCCUCAGCGAUACGGAGACCCAGCUUGAUCAUCCUGUAAAUCCUGUUCACAUGGGUGUGGGGGUCUUCGAGACAAGCCAGAGGACAAGAGUGGAGUUUCCUAAAGCAAGAUGACCAGCUCCUUUACAGUCUCGUCAUUCUCGUCAGCCUCGGCCUUUUGCCUCAAGGUCUCAAUAAUGGAGUGGUCAGGGUUGAAUUCCAGGUCAAAAGGACAAAAAGAAGUGGACAAAAAGAAGAGCUCUGAAUUCCAACUGUCCUUCAAUGGAAAAAUGCUUCACCACCAGGAAAUCCCAGUCAUCGAUCAAGCUCUUCCAGAACUAACUCUCCAUACUCCUCAUGCAGGAUAACCUUUGCUCCUCUGCCACGGAGUUCACCUUGUCAGUCCUCAUUGAAGGACCUGCCUGCUGAAGGUUCCAGGCAUACUGCUCAUCAUCGCUUUGCUUGGUGGUCACAGUCACUCUCUCAGCAACCAAGUGGAAACCCACACCUGACCGGCCAGUCAUGGAGUUGUCAGUGCCAACCUGCAAAGCCUCCAUGAAGGCCUUGGUCUCCAACUUGGUGAUGGUGCUGAAGUCAUCCAUCAAGUUAACCCUGGUCAUUCCGAUCCCAGUAUCCACGAUGGUGAGGGUUCGAUCUUGCUUGUUUGGAAUAAGAUAAAUGUGCAGCUCCUUGCUGGAAUCUAAUUUACUGGGAUCUGUCAGGCUUUCAUACCUAAUUUUGUCCAGAGCAUCUGACGAAUUUGGAAUCAAUCCCUCAGGAAGAUCUCUUUGAGUAGAAAGUGUUGUUGAUCAGUGACAUCAACUGGGCAAUUUCUGCCUGGAAGGUGAAUGUCUCUACCUCCUCCUCCUCCUCCUCCUCCAUGAGCUGGUCCUGGGUGAGUCUCCCCAGCAUCUUGGCUAAGCAACCCAUGGGAUCUGCAACAUAGCAGCUCUGAGAUGCUGAAGCAACUGGCCCAUCCCCUUUAUUUAUUUAUUUAUUUAUUUAUUUAUUUAUUUUUGGUACCGGAGAUCGAACUCAGGUCCUUGCAGUUGCAAGGCAGGCAGCAGAAACACUGAGCUAAAUCCCGGCCCAGCCCCUUUAUUUUUAAAAUUUAUUUUCAGACAGGGACUUGCUAAGUUGCCCAGGCUGGCCUUGAACUUGUAGCCCUCCCGCCUUAGCCUCCUGAGUAGCUGGGAUUACAGGCAUGAGCCUCCAUGUCCAGCCAAUGUACUCUUUUGAAUAUAGCUGUGGAAAAGUGAAUAAUGACAGAGGGAGAAAAGCAGAGGCUGUAUGCAGAGAGCCGGGUUGUAUGUUUUGGGUAGAGGGAGUUAUGGAAUGUGGAUUGGGUUAAUACGAGUGCUCAGCUGGAGAGGGUGCAGCGUUCAGCUUUUUUUGGCCAUCAAUAAGAAAUUUACUUCCUUUUAAAAAUCCAGGGCCAGGAAUUUAGCUCAGUGGAGCCACUGCCUGCCUCACAAGCGCAAGGUCCUGAGUUUGAUCCCCGGUAAGCCAAAAAUAAAAUAAAAUGAAAUGAAAUAAAAUAAAAAUCCAAAUGCUGGCCUUGUCUGGAAAAAUUUAACAGGUUUAUUUAUUUAUUUAUUUUUUUGGUACCGGGGAUCGAACUCGGGUCCUUGCACUUGCACACAAGGCAGCAAAACCACUGAGCUAAAUCCCCGGCACAAACAGGUUUAUUUAUAAUGUUGUAAGGUUGAACUGCUGAAACUUGUUCAUCAAAAAAUUUUCACUUGCAUUAAUGCUUCACAUCCCCACGUUUUAUUAAAAUUUCACACAUGGAUGAAAAUGGAAAAACUGCCAAUACUUGAUUUCUGUCCCCUAUUUUUCUGCUUGACAGUCAUAUACUUGGGUAAAUUUUGACUCCAUGGAGAGAAAAUUUUUACAUUCAGAACUGCCAAAUACCAGGAAGAACAGAAAAAAAUAUUUUUUAGAAUAAAAUGUUUUCCAUCGUACUGAUUUUAUUUUGUUUUGUUUUGUUU